rnacentral:SRP_RNA from 1 species
UCUUCUUUUUUUAAAGAUAAGGUCUCGCCAGCUACUUGGGAGGGUAAGGUGGGAAGAUCACUUGAGUCCAGGAGUUCUGGGCUGUAGUGCGCUAUGCCGAUCAGGUGUCCACACUAAGUUUGGCAUCAAUAUGGUGACCUCCUGGGAGCGGGGGACCACCAGGUUGCCUAAGGAGGGGUGAACCGGCUCAGGUCAGAAACGAAGCAGGUCAAAACUCCCGUGCUUGAUCAGUAGUGGAAUCGUGCCUGUGAACAGCCACUGCACUCCAGCCUUGGCAACAUAGCGAGACCUCAUCUCU